CAGCAGCCGCGGUAAUACAGAGGUCCCAAGCGUUGUUCGGAUUCAUUGGGCGUAAAGGGAGCGUAGGCGGUCGGGUAAGUGGGAUGUGAAAUCCUGGGGCUCAACCUCAGAACUGCAUUCCAUACUGCUUGGCUAGAGUAUUGGAGAGGUGAGUGGAAUUCACGGUGUAGCAGUGAAAUGCGUAGAUAUCGUGAGGAAGACCAGCGGCGAAGGCGGCUCACUGGACAAUUACUGACGCUGAUGCUCGAAGGCCAGGGGAGCAAACGGGAUUAGAUACCCCUGUAGUCCCUGUCUCUUAUAC
rnacentral:rRNA from 1 species